GACGGGGGGGGCAAGUGUUCUUCGGAAUGACUGGGCGUAAAGGGCACGUAGGCGGUGAAUCGGGUUGAAAGUGAAAGUCACCAAAAAGUGGCGGAAUGCUCUCAAAACCAAUUCACUUGAGUGAGAAAGAGGAGAGUGGAAUUUCGUGUGUAGGGGUGAAAUCCGUAGAUCUACGAAGGAACGCCAAAAGCGAAGGCAGCUCUCUGGGUCCCUACCAACGCUGGGGUGCGAAAGCAUGGGGAGCGAACAGG
rnacentral:rRNA from 1 species